rnacentral:rRNA from 1 species
UACGUAGGUGGCAAGCGUUGUCCGGAAUUAUUGGGCGUAAAGCGCGCGCAGGCGGUCUUCCAAGUCAGUGGUGAAAGCCCGGAGCUCAACUCCGGAACUGCCAUUGAAACUGUUGGACUUGGGUACGAGAGAGGUGAGUGGAAUUCCCAGUGUAGAGGUGAAAUUCGUAGAUAUUGGGAAGAACACCGGUGGCGAAGGCGGCUCACUGGCUCGUAACUGACGCUCAGGCGCGACAGCGUGGGGAUCAAACAGG